GCGUGCAACCCCCCCCCCAGGGUGCCGGGUCUGGAAUCGUUCGCUGCGCUGACACGCGCGGGGGGAGGGAGCUGGUGACGUAAAGGUGCCAGCCCCGUGCGAGCCCGCGGCUGCUGCGAUAGGUGGAGCGGGGCGGGGGCGUGGCCGAGCCGCCGCCGCCGCCGCGGUGGCUCAGCCAGAGGUGACAGUGCGCCAGGCGCGCUCCCCUCACCUCUGCUGCCUCCCGCGCCCGCCUCCAGCCCGGGGCUGCGAGAUGGAGACGCCUCUUCUGGACGAGGAGAGGCCGGAGCGAGGCUCGGCCCCGGGGGGCGUGUGAAGCCCUCGCUCCCCGCCGAGCGGAGUCCAGUGGAUGCUCUCGACUUCACUUUCAUACUGGAAUUUAACCGCGUGGCUUGGAUACAUCCCAGCAAUAGCCAUCUUUACUCAGUGUGUGAACUAAAAUCCAAGACAAGAGAUGAGGAGAUUUGUCUACUGCAAGGUGGUUCUCGCCACCUCUCUGAUGUGGGUGCUUGUGGAUGUCUUUUUACUCUUGUACUUCAGUGAAUGUAACAAAUGUGAUGACAAGAAAGAGAGGUCACUGCUGCCUGCUCUAAGGGCUGUUAUUUCAAGAAACCAAGAAGGACCUGGAGAAAUGGGAAAGGCUGUGCUCAUUCCCAAAGAUGACCAGGAGAAAAUGAAAGAGCUGUUUAAAAUCAACCAAUUUAACCUUAUGGCCAGUGACUUGAUUGCACUUAACAGAAGUUUGCCAGAUGUAAGAUUAGAAG